AUCUUCAGAAACUUCGCGUUUGUACGGGACAACGGUAGACAAUUUCAUGGAAUGCUCCUUGUGCUGUACAAAAUGUUUCCAGUUGGAUUUUUUUACAACAGUGAAAGCCUGUGUGGAUUGCUUGACAAUCGCCGCACUAAUAGUAUUGCCUUAAUUCUAUUCAUUUUACAGAUAUCUAAAUUUUUGCAACAAAUAUUGAGUUUUCUUUGUUUUACAAAUUAUACCUAAGUGGACAUUUCUAUCUAUUAAUGCUGACUCGAUAUAUCUAUUUCAUUUCUCUAUGUAAAA